CNNNNNNNANNNCCUUUUUGCUUAAGUAGCACGUGGACACCUACCCUAAGGAGGGGGAUAACCCCGGGAAACUGGGGAUAAUACCCCAUAGACUAGAGAAGCUGGAAUGCUCUCAAGUCCAAAGGUCCGCCGCUUCAGGAUGAGUCUGCGGCCGAUUAGGUAGUUGUUGGGGUAACGGCCCAACAAGCCUGUCAUCGGUACGGGUUGUGGGAGCAAGAGCCCGGAAAUGGAUUCUGAAACACAAAUCCAGGCCCUACGGGGCGCAGCAGGCGCGAAAACUUUACCAUGCGGGCAACCGUGAUAAGGAAACCCCGAGUGCCAGCACAGGCUGGCUGUCCUCCAGUGUAUAUAACUGGUGAAAAAAGGGCCGGGCAAGACCGGUGCCAGCCGCCGCGGUAAUACCGG
rnacentral:rRNA from 1 species